AGAGUUUGAUCCUGGCUCAGGACGAACGCUGGCGGCGCGCCUAACACAUGCAAGUCGAACGAGCGAGAGAGAGCUUGCUUUCUCGAGCGAGUGACGAACGGGUGAGUAACGCGUGAGGAACCUGCCUCAAAGAGGGGGACAACAGUUGGAAACGACUGCUAAUACCGCAUAAGCCCACGGCUCGGCAUAGAGCAGAGGGAAAAGGAGCAAUCCGCUUUGAGAUGGCCUCGCGUCCGAUUAGCUAGUUGGUGAGGUAAUGGCCCACCAAGGCGACGAUCGGUAGCCGGACUGAGAGGUUGAACGGCCACAUUGGGACUGAGACACGGCCCAGACUCCUACGGGAGGCAGCAGUGGGGAAUACUGCACAAUGGGGGAAACCCUGAUGCAGCGACGCCGCGUGGAGGAAGAAGGUCUUCGGAUUGUAAACUCCUGUUGUUGAGGAAGAUAACGACGGUACUCAACAAGGAAGUGACGGCUAACUACGUGCCAGCAGCCGCGGUAAAACGUAGGUCACAAGCGUUGUCCGGAAUUACUGGGUGUAAAGGGAGCGCAGGCGGGAAGACAAGUUGGAAGUGAAAUCCAUGGGCUCAACCCAUGAACUGCUUUCAAAACUGUUUUUCUUGAGUAGUGCAGUGGUAGGUGGAAUUCCCGGUGUAGCGGUGGAAUGCGUAGAUAUCGGGAGGAACACCAGUGGCGAAGGCGGCCUACUGGGCACCAACUGACGCUGAGGCUCGAAAGUGUGGGUAGCAAACAGGAUUAGAUACCCUGGUAGUCCACACUGUAAACGAUGAUUACUAGGUGUUGGAGGAUUGACCCCUUCAGUGCCGCAGUUAACACAAUAAGUAAUCCACCUGGGGAGUACGACCGCAAGGUUGAAACUCAAAGGAAUUGACGGGGGCCCGCACAAGCAGUGGAGUAUGUGGUUCAAUUCGAAGCAACGCGAAGAACCUUACCAGGUCUUGACAUCCUUCUGACCGCACCUUAAUCGGUGCUUUCCUUCGGGACAGAAGAGACAGGUGGUGCAUGGUUGUCGUCAGCUCGUGUCGUGAGAUGUUGGGUUAAGUCCCGCAACGAGCGCAACCCCUAUCUUCAGUAGCCAGCAGGUGAAGCUGGGCACUCUGGAGAGACUGCCAGGGAUAACCUGGAGGAAGGUGGGGACGACGUCAAAUCAUCAUGCCCCUUAUGAUCUGGGCGACACACGUGCUACAAUGGCGGUCACAGAGUGAGGCGAACCCGCGAGGGGGAGCAAACCACAAAAAGGCCGUCCCAGUUCGGACUGUAGUCUGCAACCCGACUACACGAAGCUGGAAUCGCUAGUAAUCGCGAAUCAGAAUGUCGCGGUGAAUACGUUCCCGGGUCUUGUACACACCGCCCGUCACACCAUGGGAGUCGGAAAUGCCCGAAGCCAGUGACCCAACCUUUUGGAGGGAGCUGUCGAAGGUGGAGCCGGUAACUGGGGUGAAGUCGUAACAAGGUA
rnacentral:rRNA from 1 species